AACGAACGCUGGCGGCAUGCCUAACACAUGCAAGUCGAACGAGACCUUCGGGUCUAGUGGCGCACGGGUUCGUAACGCGUGGGAACCUGCCCUUAGGUUCGGAAUAACUCCCCGAAAGGGGUGCUAAUACCGGAUAAUGUCUUCGGACCAAAGAUUUAUCGCCUUUGGAUGGGCCCGCGUUGGAUUAGCUAGUUGGUAGGGUAAAAGCCUACCAAGGCGACGAUCCAUAGCUGGUCUGAGAGGAUGAUCAGCCACACUGGGACUGGGACACGGCCCAGACUCCUACGGGAUGGAGCAGUGGGGGAUAUAGGACAGUGGGCGGAAGCCUGAUCCAGCAAUGCCGCGAGAGUGAUGAAGGCCGUAGGGUUGUAAAGCGCUUUUACCCGGGAUGAUAAUGACAGUACCGGGAGAAUAAGCUCCGGCUAACUCCGUG
rnacentral:rRNA from 1 species